AUUAAUAUCAUUUUAACCAAUUAGAGAGCUGCUAAACGAACCAAUGAUACAUGGUGUUAUUCUCGUCUCAAAAAUUAUUGUGACAAGACGUAUCAUAGGUUCGAGUUGCGUAAUUUUUAUGCAAUUAUUAGCUGAUUAUUGGUGUAAGAAGGCGGGAAAAGUUCCAAUAUGGACGUCAUGAAGAAACUUAUUUUAUGCGCGCGCGCAAUACGAUCGAAUCAGUGGUUUAAAAAAAUAAAAAUUCCCAUGGAUCAUCACGGCAACAUCGAUGAUAAUGCAGAUUGUUCAUAUCUAAUAGUGAAUUGCAUAAACACGUGACACUAAGUUCCAUAAGAUGUCACGUCUAUUCUAUACCCAUGUAAUCAUCAAGUCUUAUCGAUAAUUCAGGAAACUGUGAAUAGGUUAUGAAUAUUUUUAGUUUUCUUGUUUUGCAUAAAAACAACGAUUAUUAGUAUUAAACUCUUAUUAGUACUCUUAUUAAUGUUAAGUUAAAAUUUUUUUUUUAAUCAUAUUUUGAAAUUGUUAAUUAUACGAAUAUUAUUAUUAUGUAACGAUGUUAUAAAAAAAAAUAAAAAAUCGAAAUUUUUCGUGGUUAUAAAUAAAAAAAUGACAUAUUUUUAAUAAAUAAAAACAUAUUUCUAUUUUAAUAUUAUAA